rnacentral:rRNA from 1 species
UACGUAGGGGGCAAGCGUUGUCCGGAAUCAUUGGGCGUAAAGAGCGUGUAGGCGGCUCGGUAAGUCCGCUCUGAAAGCCCGGGGCUCAACCCCGGGAGGCGGGCGGAUACUGUCGGGCUAGAGUCCGGAAGAGGCGAGUGGAAUUCCGGGUGUAGCGGUGGAAUGCGUAGAGAUCCGGAAGAACACCGGUGGCGAAGGCGGCCUGCUGGGCAGUUGCUGACGCUGAGGCGCGACAGCGUGGGGAGCAAACAGG